rnacentral:rRNA from 1 species
GAUGAACGCUAGCUACAGGCUUAACACAUGCAAGUCGAGGGGCAGCAUUUCAGUUUGCUUGCAAACUGGAGAUGGCGACCGGCGCACGGGUGAGUAACACGUAUCCAACCUGCCGAUAACUCGGGGAUAGCCUUUCGAAAGAAAGAUUAAUACCCGAUGGUAUAAUCAGACCGCAUGGUCUUGUUAUUAAAGAAUUUCGGUUAUCGAUGGGGAUGCGUUCCAUUAGGCAGUUGGUGAGGUAACGGCUCACCAAACCUUCGAUGGAUAGGGGUUCUGAGAGGAAGGUCCCCCACAUUGGAACUGAGACACGGUCCAAACUCCUACGGGAGGCAGCAGUGAGGAAUAUUGGUCAAUGGGCGCAGGCCUGAACCAGCCAAGUAGCGUGAAGGAUGACUGCCCUAUGGGUUGUAAACUUCUUUUAUAUGGGAAUAAAGUUUUCCACGUGUGGAAUUUUGUAUGUACCAUAUGAAUAAGGAUCGGCUAACUCCGUGCCAGCAGCCGCGGUAAUACGGAGGAUCCGAGCGUUAUCCGGAUUUAUUGGGUUUAAAGGGAGCGUAGGUGGACAGUUAAGUCAGUUGUGAAAGUUUGCGGCUCAACCGUAAAAUUGCAGUUGAUACUGGCUGUCUUGAGUACAGUAGAGGUGGGCGGAAUUCGUGGUGUAGCGGUGAAAUGCUUAGAUAUCACGAAGAACUCCGAUUGCGAAGGCAGCUCACUGGACUGCAACUGACACUGAUGCUCGAAAGUGUGGGUAUCAAACAGGAUUAGAUACCCUGGUAGUCCACACAGUAAACGAUGAAUACUCGCUGUUUGCGAUAUACAGUAAGCGGCCAAGCGAAAGCAUUAAGUAUUCCACCUGGGGAGUACGCCGGCAACGGUGAAACUCAAAGGAAUUGACGGGGGCCCGCACAAGCGGAGGAACAUGUGGUUUAAUUCGAUGAUACGCGAGGAACCUUACCCGGGCUUAAAUUGCAACAGAAUAUAUUGGAAACAGUAUAGCCGUAAGGCUGUUGUGAAGGUGCUGCAUGGUUGUCGUCAGCUCGUGCCGUGAGGUGUCGGCUUAAGUGCCAUAACGAGCGCAACCCUUAUCUUUAGUUACUAACAGGUCAUGCUGAGGACUCUAGAGAGACUGCCGUCGUAAGAUGUGAGGAAGGUGGGGAUGACGUCAAAUCAGCACGGCCCUUACGUCCGGGGCUACACACGUGUUACAAUGGGGGGUACAGAAGGCGGCUACCUGGUGACAGGAUGCUAAUCCCAAAAACCUCUCUCAGUUCGGAUCGAAGUCUGCAACCCGACUUCGUGAAGCUGGAUUCGCUAGUAAUCGCGCAUCAGCCAUGGCGCGGUGAAUACGUUCCCGGGCCU